UCCGUAGGUGGCAAGCGUUGUUCGGAAUUACUGGGCGUAAAGGGUUCGUAGGCGGUGCGGCAAGUUGGGAGUGACAUCUCUGGGCUUAACCCAGAGGCUGCUUCCAAAACUGCCGUGCUAGAGUGCGAGAGAGGCCAGUGGAAUUGCAGGUGUAGCGGUGAAAUGCGUAGAUAUCUGCAGGAACACCCGUGGCGAAGGCGGCUGGCUGGAUCGCAACUGACGCUGAGGAGCGAAAGCUAGGGGAGCAAACAGG
rnacentral:rRNA from 1 species